UUUCGACGGUAUGGUAUUGGCUUACCGUGGCAGUGACGGUUAACGGGGGAUUAGGGUUCGAUUCCGGAGAGGGAGCCUGAGAAACGGCUACCACAUCUAAGGAAGGCAGCAGGCGCGCAAAUUACCCAAUUCUAACAGCAUAAGAGAGGUAGUGACAAGAAAUAACAAUACAAGGCAGUUAAAAUGCUUUGUAAUUGGAAUGAUAGAAAUUUAAACACUUUUUAAAGUAUCAAUUGGAGGGCAAGUCUGGUGCCAGCAGCCGCGGUAAUUCCAGCUCCAAUAGCGUAUAUUAAAAUUGUUGCAGUUAAAAAGCUCGUAGUUGAAUUUCUGCUAAAAAUAACCGGUCUGCUUUUAACAAAAGUGGUAUCUUGGUGUGUUUUUAGCAAUAAUGUCCUUUGAAAUGUGUUUUACUUUGUUGUAAAAGACAAUAUUCAGGAUUUUUACUUUGAGAAAAUUAGAGUGUUUCUAGCAAGCUAAUGUUUUGAAUACUGCAGCAUGGAAUAAUAAAAUAGAAUUUUAGUUCUACAUUGUUGGUUUUAAGAGCUGAAUUAAUGAUUGAUAGGGACAGUUGGGGGCAUUUGUAUUUAACUGUCAGA
rnacentral:rRNA from 1 species